CCUACGGGUGGCAGCAGUGAGGAAUAUUGGUCAAUGGACGCAAGUCUGAACCAGCCAUGCCGCGUGCAGGAAGACGGCUCUAUGAGUUGUACACUGCUUUUGUACGAGGGUAAACGCAGAUACGCGUAUCUUUCUGAAAGUAUCGUACGACUAAGGAUCGGCUAACUCCGUGCCAGCUGCCGCGGUAAUACGGCGGAUUCAAGCGUUAUCCGGAUUUAUUGGGUUUAAAGGGUGCGUCGGCGGUGUGAUAAGUUAAGGGUGAAAUCCCGAGGCUCAACUUCGGAAUUGCCUCUGAGACUGUUCGGCUAGAGAGUAGUUGCGGUAGGUGGAAUGUAUGGUGUAGCGGUGAAAUGCUUAGAGAUCAUACAGAACACCGAUUGCGAAGGCAGCUUACCAAGCUACUUCUGACGUUGAGGCACGAAAGCGUGGGGAGCAAACAGGAUUAGAUACCCGUGUAGUC
rnacentral:rRNA from 1 species